AUUUGCAAUCAAACUGUGUCAAAAACCGUCAGAAGUGUACAUUAAAUUAGGUCAAAACGUGAAAAUAUAACUACUAACUUGGGAGCCUGUUGUGACCCCUCAAUACAGUAACCCGAAGACUGCCUACGAAAUGUGCUUGAAAAUCUCGUCCUGUGGGGUCAACACUAGGUGAUCCAAGUCUGGCUUCGUUGGUUCGCCAUUUUGAAAAUGUUCUCAGCGUCGCGUCGCGUCGGCAUGGCAAGAUUGAAAAGGCGAAAGGGUUCUCGUCCUUACCGCCUCAAUGCGUCGUAGUCGAUACGGUCGACUUUCAACUGACAGCAGCCACGAGAAAAAACGCAGGUAGGCAUUUUUUUUCCCGACUGUGCCAGAA